AGUGAACGCUGGCGGUAGGCCUAACACACGCAAGUCGAACGGCAGCACAGUAAGAGCUUGCUCUUACGGGUGGCGAGUGGCGGACGGGUGAGGAAUACAUCGGAAUCUACUUUUUCGUGGGGGAUAACGUAGGGAAACUUACGCUAAUACCGCAUACGACCUACGGGUGAAAGCAGGGGAUCUUCGGACCUUGCGCGAUUGAAUGAGCCGAUGUCGGAUUAGCUAGUUGGCGGGGUAAAGGCCCACCAAGGCGACGAUCCGUAGCUGGUCUGAGGGGAUGAUCAGCCACACUGGAACUGAGACACGGUCCAGACUCCUGCGGGAGGCAGCAGUGGGGAAUAUUGGGCAAUGGGCGCAAGCCUGAUCCAGCCAUACCGCGUGGGUGAAGAAGGCGUUCGGGUUGUAAAGCCCUUUUGUUGGGAAAGAAAAGCAGCAGGUUAAUACCCCGCUGUUCUGACGGUACCCAAAGAAUAAGCACCGGCUAACUUCGUG
rnacentral:rRNA from 1 species